CCAAUAGCGUAUAUUAAAGUUGUGUGCAGUUAAAAAGCUCGUAGUUGAACUUCAGACCUGGCUGGGUGGUCCGCUUAACGGCGUGUACUGCUUGGCUGGGCCUUACUUCUUGGUGAGCCGGCGUGCCCUUUAUUGGUGUGCGUCGGGGAACCAGGACUUUUACCUUGAGAAAAUUAGAGUGUUCAAAGCAGGCCUAUGCCUGAAUACAUUAGCAUGGAAUAAUAGAAUAGGACGUGCGGUUCUAUUUUGUUGGUUUCUAGAGUCGCCGUAAUGAUUAAUAGGGACAGAUGGGGGCAUUCGUAUUGCGACGUUAGAGGUGAAAUUCUUGGAUCGUCGCAAGACGGACAGAAGCGAAAGCAUUUGCCAAAAAUGUUUUCAUUAAUCAAGAACGAAAGUUAGAGGUUCGAAGGCGAUCAGAUACCGCCCUAGUUCUAACCAUAAACGAUGCCAGCUAGCGAUCCGCCGAAGUUCCUCCGAUGACUCGGCGGGCAGCUUCCGGGAAACCAAAGCUUUUGGGUUCCGGGGGAAGUAUGGUUGCAAAGCUGAAACUUAAAGGAAUUGACGGAAGGGCACCACCAGGAGUGGAGCCUGCGGCUUAAUUUGACUCAACACGGGAAACCUCACCAGGCCCAGACACCGGAAGGAUUGACAGAUUGAUAGCUCUUUCUUGAUUCGGUGGGUGGUGGUGCAUGGCCGUUCUUAGUUGGUGGAGCGAUUUGUCUGGUUAAUUCCGAUAACGAACGAGACUCUAGCCUGCUAAAUAGGCGUACCUUAUGGUAUCGCGAAGGCCCCCGGCUUCGGCCGGUGGGUUUUUACUACCAA
rnacentral:rRNA from 1 species